rnacentral:sRNA from 1 species
AAAUUUGAAAUAAAAUAUUCACAUACAUCUAAUUUAUACAUUCUAAAUUCAUAUAGUAAUAAAAAAUCCGCUGUAGCACAUUGGUUAAAUCUCAACAUCUGACUUUCAACAUCUAUAUAUAUAUU